UUCGCGUAGACCCCCACCCCUUCAAUUAGACUGAGAGCUCUUUGAGUUAAAGUAAAACUAAUGAUGCUCAUUUCCAGCAGCACACCACAGCAGUUUGGUCUCCAUUUCUGGCAUUCGGGAUUUGAUUUUGAUGAAACGGGCUCAAAUGUUUCGUUUUUGGUGACUGUAGACAAAACCAGGAAGGGAACAGGAGAAUGAGGAGCCGUGGCCUGCAGGGACCUGCUCCAACAUCUCAUAAACAGAAAAGAAUGCACUGUACAUCUGAGAUGAUCCAGUAUACUGGGAUGAAGGGCAGUUGUGCAGUUGCCACAGACAAGAUUAAAUCUGCCGCCAGUGAGACGGAUUUGUCACCAGUAGAGGCAGCAGACAGAGAUUCACCCCCAACUCAGAAGAAGAAAAUCUACUGGUGAUCAGAAAUGAACCCAUUUGUAAUUAAAGACUUUAAAAUCCAAAUGAAAUGUGUUCACCCUGGAAACAGUUACAGCCAGAAUACAACAAACUUAAAUUUGUGAGUUAAUAAACGAGAGGAUCUGUCACUACAGCAGCGACGAUAAGAGUCUGACAGAUUUGCACGCAAACACAUGACAGAAAAACAACAACAGAUCUUUUUGCUGAUCCUUUACAGGCCUGGGUCUUUAUAAGUAACAGAUCAGACAGAUGACAAGAGCAUCGGCAGCAGCAGCAUCUCCCACUGAUAGCUCAGAGUUCCCCUGGAGGGAAAUCCUCUUUGUUUGGGCGGUCCAAGCCGGCCGUGUCUUUCAACAGGAUAUCCCAACAGAAGGUGAGGUCAACUAUGAGCAAACUCUGCACAAAAGGAUCUGGAGCUGGAUUUAAUGUUUCACAAAGCACUGGUCAUAUUCUUUGAAGAUUUUGCCUCCUCCCUUCGUCAAGUCUGUGAGAGUUAAUUAAACAUUAGACAGCUUGGGGUCAAGCAUAGGCUCAAAGUAAAAAGGAAAAAAACUUUCCCAUAAAAGCAUCCCAUAAUCUUGCCUUAAUAUCGUUUCAUUUUUUUCUCCCCUUUUUUUUGCAAUAAGAAGUGUUAUUGAAGCAGUGUUAUUGAAAUUCAUAUAUUAAAAAAAUAAAAAGUGACGAGGUGCUUUAUAAAGAAGAAGCUACAUCCAAUGCUCAGCUGGAGCUCUAAAGAUGACUUGCAUUUGUUUAUUUUAAGGAAAAGUGAUCCCUUAAAGAGAUUUAAAAGAAGGCACAAAGUAAUUUUAAAGUUUUUUACAGCUUUUCAAAUAAAAUGCAGUUUCUAGAUGUUUUGUGUACUAACAACAGAACAAAAUUUUAAAAACCAAAACAAAAAUUUACUGAAACAGUAAAUGUUUUAAAAAGUUUAGAACCUAUUUUUCCUCUAUAGAUAUUUCAGCUCUGAACGUAUCCUUAAACUCGUCUGAGUGCUACUUUGAUAUCCAAAAAUAAAUGCUCAGUAUCAUGUAAUAUAAUAAAGUUAAAGAAAGGUGGUUGUAGCUCAGGGCUAGAGCGGGUCAUCUACUGAUCGAAGGUUGGUGGUUCGAUGAUAGAUUAGAAAAGUGCUAUAUAAGAAUCAGUCCAUUUACCAUUUCUAAUAAAUUGCUGCUCCUUGGUUACACACUCUUUGCACUUGUAUUAUAAAUUGAUCUGCCAAAAAGGACAACACAUAUAAACGAAUUUCUAGAGUAAUAUGACUUACUUGAAACCUGAUGGCCCGAAGCUGAACUUUAACCUUUGAGUUCAUGCAAGAAACUCCCACUUGGUUAUUUCAGGCCUUCAGUGUCAGCUGGCCAUUCAAGCUGAAUUUGUCCCCUGCAACUUAUAUGACCUUUCAACUCCUCUCAGGCUCUGAAUUUCUGCUUACAGUAAUCUUCCACUUUCAGCCCUUUUAUUUAAUCUGAUACUUCAGUCUUUAUAUUUUAAUCACAACGGUUUUCAAGUAUUUCUGAUAUUUCAACUGAAAAACUAGCAGUAUAUUAGUAAAUUAAUCACUUUUUCUGACAGCUGAAACUUCUGAUGCAUUUUAACUGCCUUUAAUUCUGGCUCUUCAGCUGUCACCUCAAACCCUUUCAAUUGUUAGGUUUUGACCUUUGAAUAUCUGUGAAUUGAAAAUAUAUUGAAAUAAAGUUCUGCAUAGUUUAAUACAUCUUUCCAUUCAUAUCUUUGAUUUGUAGACAUUCAUUACUUGUCGUUACAUCCCACUCAACACUUAUACUAACAGCUUCUUUUGGUUCACACACUUUAAAUGGCUCGUAAUAAUUUCAUGAUUUCCACUUCAGUCACCUGGAAUUACGACACUUCAACACCUUCAGUGAACUUCAACCAAACCUACAACGACUUUCUGCACUUCAGCACAUCUAUAUUUAAUUUCUUCAACUUGUUUUAAACUAAAACUUCUAACCAGUACUUUGACAUUUUCAGUACUUUUUAAUUCAAGUGUCACUGUAAUGCCUGCUUUCAUGGCUUUACUGUUGUAACAAAUACCAAAGCUUCUCCAAACAUCUCAUUUCCAGCAGCAUUUGAAUUUUUUUGUUCAUUCCGAUAUGAAAGCCUAAAUUAAUAUUGGUAAAUGUUUGAGUGUUUGAACUCAAGUUAUUUUUCAUUUCCCUCUUGACUGAGUUUGGCAGGGCAUCAGUGGAAACGGAGCUGUUGGCUGCCCUUCCAUGUCUUCUGUUGUUGUUUUCUGGAGGCCUCAAUGGGAUGGGUAGUUUGUGAAAUGACAGGACAUGCCAACAAAUUGCAUCACUUCUGGCUCAGCGGCCAAGGACAAUGCCAUGCCAUAUGCCAAUUGGGGGGGUUACGGGUGGAGGGAUGAAUGGGUCUCAUUUCCAUGUGGUCCCUUCGAAGACUGACCCCCCCGACUCCACCCCUCCUGAAUCUGUGCUUCUCCAUACUCUCUGUUACCAACACACGUACACCCAAAAACCCAGUUGGGAGGUUGCCUUGGCCAGUGGUGUGACACAGACAUACGAGCUGACACAUCAGCCAUGAGCCAAAACAAAACAUCCAGAGAUUCAGUUCAAUACACGGGCAGGCCUGAGGAGCGUCAUUGUCCCCGCUUCUCGCUCUCCACCUGCAGACGACGGCGUGGGCAGAGCAACACAUAGAGUACUGUACACACUUACUGUUCACACAGAGGAUAUUGUUCUUGUUGUAUCAUCAGAAAAUAAUGUCGCAAAUCAGAAAUGUCAUUUGUUUUUUCCUGUAACAGCUCAACUCAGUUCUUAUAUAUGUAUGUAUAUAUAUGCAGGGUAAAGUAGAUACCCUGUAUCUGCUUUUUUAAUUCUACUUUAAAUCUACUUCCUAAUGUGAACGCACCUUAUAGUUGUUCUGCUUUGUGUAUGACAUACAUCAUAUUGUCUUUUAGUUCUUUAGUAAUAAUUUGGUAUUUACUUGAUACUUUAUUCAUCAUUUUGUGACUACUUUGUAUAAAAUUUCUAAUUUCUCUGUAUUAACUUUGUAUCUAUUUUGGAAUUCCCUGCUACUUUGUGUCCAUGUUGUACUUAAUAUAUGUGUGGAUGUUUUAUUAAUUUGUAUCUACACGUUUCCAGGCAUUUUCAAAGUACUCAAUAUUCUAUUUCUUUAAAACUUAAAAAGGUUUCACUUGCUUUAAAAAAUUGUUAUGUCUCAUAAAGUAUUCUACAUAAAUUGGAAAACUUUAUUAUACUUUAUUUUUUUUAUGCAAUUGUGAAGACUAUAUAUUUAAUUUUUUUUCCUUAAAAAAACUACUAUUUUAAAGGACCCAAAGUAAUUUUUCUUCUUACUUAUUACUGCCCCAGAUUAUCCAAUACUUACUCUGUAGCAGGGUAAAAAUCACUUUUCGGAAAGUUCACUCCUAAAUAUGUCUCUUUUCGGUGUCUUUGGGAUUGCAGAUUUAAAUAGUGCGAGGUAAUUUGUUCAGGGAGUGAGGAGCAGUGAUUUAGGAGCUGUUUUUGAGUUGACAUGAUACAAAUGAGGAUGGUGCUAGAAGGUCAAGCACCCUGCGCCAUCACCAUAAUCGUGCUAAUUGGGACAAUAUGUGCAUGAUAAAUCGCUACAGCCCAGUAACGGACCCUUUAAUCACUUCUUAAAGCAGCUUUAGAUCCACCGAGUUUGCUUCAAAAGGAACGUUUUCAGUAUUUCCAUUUUUAAAGGAGCAGAAAUUUUGUUGUUGGCCAUAUGCUCUGUGCUGCUGCUGCAGUGGGAGGGAGGGAGGACACUGUGAAAGGGUUUUAACCUUCCACUUUGGGGAAGUUGGAGUUAAUACUCCAGCCACCUCAUCACUGGGCCAGCGCCAAGUGUUGCUCGGCGCGUCUCUGGGAAGGGGGGUGAGGACGAGACCCCACAGAUGCUUUCUCUCGGUCCCCUCUACCUCGCAGCCAGAUGCCGAGAGGAUAAACUCCGGUAGCUUCAGGAUCACAACAUCAAGGUUGUGUCCAAAUCUGGAGCUUGUGAUAUUAGUCACAGAGAAGGCAUGAUGUAUGAUUGUGUUCUGCCUCAACAACAUCUGAAUCACAGCGCAAAACAACUGAAAUGACUAACACUGUAAUACAUGUACUUUAGGUAAUAAAACUACAGUGGCCUCUUCAGAGAAACAAAAACUACAAGAGAGUACUUUAGAGUACUUAGUAAAUAGUCUUAAAAAUGUUUCGAAUGCGACAUAGAUUUUGAU